rnacentral:rRNA from 1 species
AUUGAACGCUGGCGGAAUGCUUUACACAUGCAAGUCGAACGGUAGAGGGGGCAACCCCUUGAGAGUGGCGAACGGGUGAGUAAUAUAUCGGAACGUGCCCAGUCGUGGGGAUAACGUAGCGAAAGUUACGCUAAUACCGCAUACGAUCUACGGAUGAAAGCGGGGGACUCGCAAGAGCCUCGCGCGAUUGGAGCGGCCGAUAUCAGAUUAGGUAGUUGGUGGGGUAAAGGCUCACCAAGCCAACGAUCUGUAGCUGGUCUGAGAGGACGACCAGCCACACUGGAACUGAGACACGGUCCAGACUCCUACGGGAGGCAGCAGUGGGGAAUUUUGGACAAUGGACGCAAGUCUGAUCCAGCCAUUCCGCGUGCAGGAUGAAGGCCCUCGGGUUGUAAACUGCUUUUGUACGGAACGAAAAGGUUUCUAUUAAUACUAGGAGCUCAUGACGGUACCGUAAGAUAAGCACCGGCUAACUACGUGCCAGCAGCCGCGGU